CGUAACGCGUAUGCAACCUACCUUAAUCUGGGGGAUAGCCCGAAGAAAUUCGGAUUAACACCGCAUAACAUCAGGGGAUAGCAUUAUUUUCUGAUCAAAUAUUUAUAGGAUUAAGAUGGGCAUGCGUGUCAUUAGCUAGUUGGCGGGGUAACGGCCCACCAAGGCGACGAUGACUAGGGGAUCUGAGAGGAUGACCCCCCACACUGGUACUGAGACACGGGCCAG
rnacentral:rRNA from 1 species